UACGGGGGGCAAGCGUUGUUCGGAAUUACUGGGCGUAAAGGGCUCGUAGGUGGCCAACUAAGUCAGACGUGAAAUCCCUCGGCUUAACCGGGGAACUGCGUCUGAUACUGGAUGGCUUGAGUUUGGGAGAGGGACGCGGAAUUCCAGGUGUAGCGGUGAAAUGCGUAGAUAUCAGGAAGAACACCCGUGGCGAAGGCGGCUCCUCUGGGACGGUACUGACGCUGAGACGCGAAAGCGUGGGAGCGAACAGGAUAGAUACCGGAG
rnacentral:rRNA from 1 species